rnacentral:rRNA from 1 species
UACGUAGGGUGCGAGCGUUGUCCGGAAUUAUUGGGCGUAAAGAGCUCGUAGGCGGCUUGUCGCGUCGACUGUGAAAACCCGCGGCUUAACUGCGGGACUGCAGUCGAUACGGGCAGGCUAGAGUUCGGUAGGGGAGACUGGAAUUCCUGGUGUAGCGGUGAAAUGCGCAGAUAUCAGGAGGAACACCGGUGGCGAAGGCGGGGUCUCUGGGCCGAUACUGACGCUGAGGAGCGAAAGCGUGGGGAGCGAACAGG